AUUCAGCUCACGAGUCCCAAGUAGGAUGAAACGCGCGUCCCGGAU
rnacentral:hammerhead_ribozyme from 1 species